rnacentral:tRNA from 2 species
GCCGAAGUAGCUCAGCUGGUAGAGCAACUCAUUCGUAAUGAGUAGGUCGUCGGUUCAAAUCCGAUCUUCGGCUCCA